rnacentral:rRNA from 1 species
UACAGAGGUGGCGAGCGUUGUUCGGAUUUACUGGGCGUAAAGCGUGCGUAGGCGGUCGCGUGUGUCGGAUGUGAAAUCCCGGGGCUCACCCCCGGAAGUGCAUCCGAAACUGCGCGGCUUGAGGCCGGGAUGGGUGACUGGAACACAUGGUGUAGCGGUGAAAUGCGUUGAUAUCAUGUGGAACACCGGAGGCGAAGGCGAGUCACUGGAACGGAUCUGACGCUGAGGCACGAAAGCGUGGGGAGCAAGCAGGAUUA